UUCAUUUUUAGAACAUUAGCCCAUUUUUUGGGUUUGUUUCUUCCUCUCUUAGUAGCCGCCUACCGCCUCCCCAUUUUGUCUCCGGCGACCCGCCAACAACCGGUACUGUCAAAACUGCCCUGACCCGACGCUCCUCCAACCGACGUGCUUUCCUCCGGCCAAUGGCAGCGGCAGAUUUCAACACUUAGGUGGCGGCUCUGACAGUUCUGUAGUGGCGGCAUGAUUUGGUGUUCGUGCGUGACAACUCCAACGCGGUGGCUCAUCCCUCCGUGAACUCCGGCGUUCCUCGACAGACCAGUGGUGGCAGUGUACAGGUGCGCAUUUCUCUCUGAUCCCGAUGAUCCAUGGCGUCCCUCCUCCCUCCAUGGCGGUGUAGCUACAGCGGCUCUCAAAUCCGACGCUCUUCCACGAACCCAGCGGUCGGUGACCCAAUUGGUCGGUCUUCAGUGGCGACGCAGCUCUCUGACAACCCAGAUCCGGUGACGCGUGACUUCUUCGGCCAGUAAUGACUUCCAUGUCGCGUCCAGCAUCUCAACCCAGCCACAUUUCCCAGCAUCGAGACCCGAUGCCCUCUAGCGACCAGCGGUAGCUCCUGCACGAUAUUCGUUCCCUCCAACGAUCGCUAACGUUCUGUUUGCACAAAAUCUCUCUACCGCACCCCUCUCCGAUGCUAACAAUAGCGUUCGGUGACUCUCCAUGCUUACCCAGGCCCAAACGAAGCCCAAUCCAUGAUACCCACACCCUGUUGGCAUCAGAUCUACAAGCCCCAGCACUUUCGCCGUCGUUUCAGCAAGGUUCAGUGGAUUUCAAUCCGACUCAAGAAGUUAGGAGCAUUUAGGCGAGUUAUGACUAGAAAUAAUAGUGGAUCGUUGGUGUGAUGAAGCUUGGAGGCCAACAUAUUUCUGGAAUCUUCAAUGAACGAGGUAAAUUCAAACUCCAAUCUGAUGGCCGCCCGAUUCUAUACCAAACAUCACACAUCGAUUGAAAAAUAAAUAUGAAAAUAGGUCAUAUUUCUUUUUUUUUUUUUCCUACUUUUGAAUGUUGGGCUCCGAUAAAUUGUUCAUAGGGCUUCCGGUCAUUAGUAUGAUGUCUGAUGUCAUACACAACUUGUGCUGAAACUGAUUUACUAUAAUGAAUUUAAAAAUAUAGCAAUCGCGC